AUACGGAGGAUCCGAGCGUUAUCCGGAUUUAUUGGGUUUAAAGGGUGCGCAGGCGGCCAUUUAAGUCAGCGGUUAAAUCGUGGGGCUCAACCCCAUUCUGCCGUUGAUACUGGGUGGCUUGAUUGCGGUCGAGGUUGGCGGAAUUCGUUGUGUAGCGGUGAAAUGCAUAGAUAUGACGAAGAACACCGAUUGCGUAGGCAGCUGACCAGACCGCAAAUGACGCUCAUGCACGAAAGUGCGGGGAUCGAACAGGAUUAGAUACCCUGGUAGUCCGCACAGUAAACGAUGAAUACUCGACAUACGCGAUACACAGUGUGUGUCUGAGCGAAAGCAUUAAGUAUCCCACCUGGGAAGUACGAUCGCAAGAUUGAAACUCAAAUGAAUUGGCGGGG
rnacentral:rRNA from 1 species